rnacentral:sRNA from 1 species
CCAUGAGAGGGCCAGGAUUGGCUGGCUCUGGAGGCGCGGGUGGUCCUUCUUCUACUGUCACAUGGUGCGCGCUGUUUUCUAAUCACGUGGCUGCCACCCAGGUAAGAAGAGGCCGCUCUUCCUGGGGUUGUUUCUCCGUGUGACGUGUGGCCUUUGAGAUCAACUCUCCUGUACCAGCGUAGGCCGCAUGAGUGGGGGGCGGGC